rnacentral:rRNA from 1 species
UACAGAGGUCUCAAGCGUUGUUCGGAUUCAUUGGGCGUAAAGGGUGCGUAGGCGGCGCGGUAAGUCGGGUGUGAAAUCUCGGAGCUUAACUCCGAAACUGCAUUCGAUACUGCCGUGCUUGAGGACUGGAGAGGAGACUGGAAUUUACGGUGUAGCGGUGAAAUGCGUAGAUAUCGUAAGGAAGACCAGUGGCGAAGGCGGGUCUCUGGACAGUUCCUGACACUGAGACACGAAGGCUAGGGGAGCAAACGAG